rnacentral:tRNA from 1 species
GCCGACGUGGGACAAUGGUACUCCGGCAGUCUUGAGAACUGCUUUCCUUCGGGAUCUCCCGGUUCGAUUCCGGGCGUCGGCG